UACGAAGGGGGCUAGCGUUGCUCGGAAUCACUGGGCGUAAAGCGCACGUAGGCGGCUUGUUAAGUCAGGGGUGAAAUCCUGGAGCUCAACUCCAGAACUGCCUUUGAUACUGAAGAUCUUGAGUUCGGGAGAGGUGAGUGGAACUGCGAGUGUAGAGGUGAAAUUCGUAGAUAUUCGGAAGAACACCAGUGGCGAAGGCGACUCACUGGACACAUAUUGACGCUGAGGUGCGAAAGCGUGGGGAGCAAACAGG
rnacentral:rRNA from 1 species